rnacentral:sRNA from 1 species
ACCUUGCGUCUACAGCCUGAGCGUCUCGCACAAGGCUGAUGGCUGGUGGCUAAUGCCACCGGCCU